GUGCUCACUUCGACAGCACAUAUUCUAAGAUUAGAACAAUACUGAGAAGACUGGUGUGGGCCCUGCCCAAGGAUCACUUGUAAAUUGGUGAAACAUUCCAGGUUAAA
ensembl:snRNA U6 U6 spliceosomal RNA